AUCCGUCUAACGACUCCCAAAUAGGACGAAACACGUGUCCUGGAU
rnacentral:hammerhead_ribozyme from 1 species